rnacentral:rRNA from 1 species
GACGAACGCUGGCGGCGUGCUUAACACAUGCAAGUCGAACGGAAAGGCCCCUUUGGGGGUACUCGAGUGGCGAACGGGUGAGUAACACGUGAGUAACCUGCCCUUGACUUCGGGAUAACUUCAGGAAACUGGGGCUAAUACCGGAUAGGAAUCCUUGCUGCAUGGUGGGGGUUGGAAAGCUUCGGCGGUUUUGGAUGGACUCGCGGCUUAUCAGCUUGUUGGUGGGGUAGUGGCUUACCAAGGCUUUGACGGGUAGCCGGCCUGAGAGGGCGACCGGCCACAUUGGGACUGAGAUACGGCCCAGACGCCUACGGGAGGCAGCAGUGGGGAAUAUUGCACAAUGGGCGGAAGCCUGAUGCAGCAGCGCCGCGUGCGGGAUGACGGCCUUCGGGUUGUAAACCGCGUUCAGCAGGGGCGAAGCUUGUGGUGACGGUACCUGCAGAAGAAGCACCGGCUAACUACGUG